rnacentral:rRNA from 1 species
UACGUAGGGUGCGAGCGUUGUCCGGAAUUAUUGGGCGUAAAGGGCUCGUAGGCGGUUUGUCGCGUCGGGUGUGAAAACACACAGCUUAACUGUGUGCUUGCUUCCGAUACGGGCAGACUAGAGGUAUGCAGGGGAGAACGGAAUUCCUGGUGUAGCGGUGAAAUGCGCAGAUAUCAGGAGGAACACCGGUGGCGAAGGCGGUUCUCUGGGCAUUACCUGACGCUGAGGAGCGAAAGCUAGGGGAGCGAACGGG